ACGUUUGCCAAUUAACCCCUGUGCUAAAAUGGAUUAAAAGCAAGAAAAGAUUUUUGGAGUGCGACCAUUUGUUAUUUUUUAAUAGCUUACAAUGUUCAA